GUUAACGUAGCUUAAACAUAAAGCAUGGCACUGAAGAUGCCAAGAUAAAUCCUAGAAAAUUUCGGUAGCA
rnacentral:tRNA from 1 species